rnacentral:SRP_RNA from 1 species
GGCCGCGGGAAGGGCUCCUAAACCCACAUAGGGUUUAGGAGCCAGAAAACCCCACAACACCCCAUACGCACCACCAACCCCCACACCCACCAAUGACUCCCGCCCUGUGGGGCUGGUGGAGGCGGAGCCCCUCUCGGAGGAGAGGGGAUAACCGCCAUAACCAGGGGAACCAGGCCAGGCCCGGAAGGGAGCAACCUAACCCUGGCCACCAGCGUUCACGGGUCACCGGGAGUGAGGUAUGGGUGUGGAAGGGCUCUGGUGGGUUUCGCGGUGGGGUGUUGUGGGGGGCCGCGGCC